GAUGAAGAACGCAGCGAAAUGCGAUAAGUAAUGUGAAUUGCAGAAUUCAGUGAAUCAUCGAAUCUUUGAACGCACAUUGCGCCAGCCAGUAGUCUGGCGGGCAUGCCUGUUCGAGCGUCAUUUCAACCAUCAAGCCCCCGGCUUGUGUUGGGGACCUGCGGCUGCCGCAGGCCCUGAAAAGCAGUGGCGGGCUCGCUGUCACACCGAGCGUAGUAGCAUACAUCUCGCUCUGGGCGUGCUGCGGGUUCCGGCCGUUAAACCACCUUCAUAACCCAAGGUUGACCUCGGAUCAGGUAGGAAGACCCGCUGAACUUAAGCAUAUCAAUAAGCGGAGGA
rnacentral:misc_RNA from 1 species